AAGUGUGGUCAUACCAGCACUAAUGCACCGGAUCCCAUUAGAACUCCGAAGUUAAGCAUGCUUGGGCGAAAGUAGUGCUAAGAUGAGCUUUAUCAUAGGACUUUCACAAACACAGGCA
rnacentral:rRNA from 1 species